rnacentral:rRNA from 1 species
UACGUAGGUGGCAAGCGUUGUCCGGAAUUAUUUGGGCGUAAAGCGCGCGCAGGCGGUCCUUUAAGUCUGAUGUGAAAGCCCACGGCUCGACCGUGGAGGGUCAUUGGAAACUGGGGGGACUUAGUGCAGGAGAGAAGAGUGGAAUUCCACGUGUAGCGGUGAAAUGCGUAGAGAUGUGGAGGAACACCGGUGGCGAAGGCGGCUAUCUGGACCGACAUUGACGCUGAGGCGCGAAAGCGUGGGGAGCAAACAGG